GUCAGCGACAAAAACGAGGCCGGCUGAGUCACCCUGCAAACUCACCGAGUCGACUCACUCUCAAAACCACACUCUAUUCAAUUGGUAUGUUGUCGACUUGUCGUUUACUCAUCUAACUCUGCAUCAAAUUAUCAAAACCCUUCGUUCUCUCUCUUUUCUUCAUCUCUCUCUUAGUUCUCUUCCUUUCCAGAAAAGGUUUAAUAUUUUCCCUCUCCACAUAAUUUUGCGUGAAAAUUAGCUCGCGAGAAUCGUAAAUUUUCUCGGUAUCCGAACACCGAAUCACGUCUCACAUAAUGUUCCCUACCAGCGCCAAAACCUUCUCGUCGUUUACGCUGCCGAGUCUGCCGACUCCUCAGCUCAGUCCGAGUCAACCGGGGAGCCAGCCGACGUUCGUCAAGCUUCGGAGGAGGAAUAUAAACGUGACGUGUUCGGCGUCGGUUGUUGAUGGGUGAGAGAGUUCUGUGGCUGGCUUGGAGCGGUGUUAUACUGCGCCGAGUGCUUUGGCGUCAAGUUCGAAUGUUGGAUUAGGUCCGGUUAUGAAGGGCGGACAGUACGGUGUGCGGUUACGUUAGAGAAAGGGAAGCUUGACUUGACGCAGAAACAAUCGCGGUCUAGCCCAGAGGGUUCUGGUUGGAAAAAGGUUGGCAAUUUUUAAGGACUUUUCCAAACAGAUUUAAGUAGCGCCCUUCGGACAGACAUUUCGAGAUCAAUAAUAGGAGCAGAAACAAAGGCUGAUAACAUGUAGGAGCAGACAAUGGAGGAAAUAAAUGAACAGUUAAAGGCUUCGGUUUCUAAGAUUGAAAGGGAUAAUCAAUUUGAAGAAGUUAAAGAUAGAGGAAGUGCAGAGGAGGAAUGGGAGUUGAAGCCCGGGAUGGUCUUUGAUUCACUUGAUAAUCUUCUCCAAUACUACAGAAGUUAUGGGAAUAGAAUGGGGUUUGAAGUUAUUAUAAGAUCCUCAAGGAAAGUAGAUGAUGGAGAGGUGACAAAUGUAACACUAGCUUGUUCUUGUACUGGGAAGUCGAGUAGUAACACCCGAAACGCUUUUAAAUUAUACCCAGUGACAGACAGAUUGUAAGGCUCGGGUUGGUGCAGCCGUACGUGGUAACGGAAAAUGGCAAAUAUGUUCAGUGGGGUUGAAUCAUAACCAUGAGCUCAGUAGUCCAAUGAAAACUAGAUAUUUUAGGAGCAAUCAUGGUAUACAACCAUACGUGAAAAAGAGACUUGAAGUAAAUGAUAGGGUCGCGAUUAGGCCGAAUAAAAAUUUCAAUUCCAUGUUAGUUGAAGUAGGCGGUCCUGAGAAUUUGCCUUUCUUGCAAAAAGAUUGUAGAAACUAUAUUGAAAAAGUUAGGAGGAUGCGACUUGGUGUCGGGGAUGCUUAUGCAAUCCAAAAAUAUUUUUUGAAGAUGCAAAAAGAAAAUGUAAAUUUCUUUUACAUGAUGGAUUUAGAUGAGGAAUGUCGAUUACAGAAUGUUAUAUAGGUGGAUGUAAGAAGUAGGGUUGCAUUUAAGGAAUUUGGCGGCGUUGUCACAUUUGACACUACAUACUUGACCAACAAGUAUGAUAUGCCAUUUGCGGCGUUUGUUGGUGUUGACCAUCAUGGACAUUCAACACUCUUAGGUUGUGGGUUAAUCUCCUAUGAGGACACUGAGACUUUUGUUUGGCUUUUUGAAUCUUGGCUUGCAUGUAUGUGGAAUUGUGCUCCAAAUGCAAUAAUCAUUGAUCAAGACAAGGCGAUGCAAAAUGCAAUCGAGAUUGUGUUUCCCGGUACACGGCAUAGAUGGUGUUUGUGGCAUAUAAUGAAGAAAUUGCCAGAAAAGUUAAGGGGUUACAGCGAAUAUGAAUGUAUUGAGUUUGCUUUGCAAAAUGCUGUGUAUGAUUCAUUGAAAUUGAGAAGUUCGAACAACGUUGGACUGGAUUCAUUGAUAAAUACAACCUUCACAACCAUGAGUGGUUACUUGGACUGUAUAAUGAAAGACAACGUUGGGUGCCAUCGUUUGUAAAAGACACCUUUUGGGCGGGUAUGUCCACCACUCAACGGAGUGAAAGUAUGCAUGCAUUCUUUGAUAGGUACGUAAAUUCUAAAACCACUUUGAAACAGUUUGUAGAACAGUAUGAGAAUGCACUGUGUGAUAAAGUAGAAAAAAAAAAAGGAGGCUGAUUUUAGAUCAUGGAAAUCAUGGAUUCCUUGCAUAACCGGUUAUCCAAUGGAGAAACAAUUUCAGGAGGCAUACACGACUGCAAAAUUCAAAGAGUUUCAGCAAGAGCUUACUGCUAAGUUGCAUUGUGAGAUAUCUUCUUUCCGGACCACUAAAUCUAAAAUAGAAUAUAUUGUAAAGGAAGUUGUCGUGGUUGGGGAGGCAUGUCGUAGUGUGCCUUUUGUGGUUUGCUAUGAUGACCGUGGUUGUGAUAUUCGUUGCAACUGUCGAUUGUUUGAGUUUAGAGGGAUUAUUUGUCGACAUGCAAUGACGGUAUUGCUUCAUAAAGAGAUUUAUCAUAUACCUGAAAAGUUCAUUUUAAGAAGGUGGAGGAAAAAUGUAUAUAGAUGCCACACGAAGAUUAGAGUUGGUUAUAAUAGCUGGAGCACGACUGCUGAAGGAGAACGGUUUGAUCAAUUGUCUAAUUCAUUCUCUGAGGUGGCUGAUUU